ACCCGCUGGUUUAAGCAUAUCACUGAGCGCAGGAGAAGAAACUAACCAGGAUUUCCCUAGUAACGGCGAGCGAACCGGAAAGAGCCCAGCUUGAAAAUCGUGGCGCUCUGGCGCCUCGAAUUGUAGUCUGGAGAAGGUCCCUCUGCGGCGCGCCGGAUUCAAGUUCCCUGGAAUGGGACGUCCGAGAGGGUGAGAACCCCGUCGUAUCCGGAGUGCGUCGCUCCACGAGGACCUGUCUGCGAGUCGGGCUGUUUGGGAAUGCAGCCCUAAGCGGGUGGUAAAUUCCAUCCAAGGCUAAAUAUUGGCAAGAGACCGAUAGCGAACAAGUACCGCGAGGGAAAGAUGAAAAGGACUUUGAAAAGAGAGUUAAAAAGUGCUUGAAAUUGCUGGGAGGGAAGCGAAUGGAAGCUGCGGGUGCGCCCCGGUUGGAUGUGGAACGGCCGUCAAACGCUGGUCCGCCGCUCAACGCGGGGCGCUGGUCAGCGUGGGCCAUCGCGGCGGGACAAGAGCGGGGAUUCGCUUCUCGCCGAUGCCGCUGCGGUGGCCGAGGAACGAAGCGCGCGCCUUCUGGCGUGGGACUCGUCCCAACUGCGCGCUCGAGACGCUGGCGUAUUGAGCUCUUCAUCCGACCCGUCUUGAAACACGGACCAAGGAGUCUAACAUGUAUGCGAGCCGGUGGGCGGCAAACCCAUUGAGGCGCAAGUAACCUGACAGGUGGGACCCCGCUUGCGGGAGCACCAUCGACCGACCGUGAUCUUCUGUGAAGGGUUCGAGUUGUGAGCA
rnacentral:rRNA from 1 species